CUUCAAAAAGCUUCUCCUGAUACUGCUGAUCACUUCCACCAAACCAAAAAUGCUGCAGACUGUUAGGCGAUAUCCCUCGCUCCUUCUCGUGUUUUGGGGGUAUUUACCAUGGUAUUGCUGACUGUACCAGUCCUCAGAUUGGGGUUAAUGCUAUCAUCUGUUGGCUCCCAGUGGCCCCUGUCUGACUCGCCCAUACGACUUGUUCCAGACUACAGAGUCAGAAAGGUACAGACUUCAUGUCUACACUUACUGGUAAGUGAAAACACAUAUAUUUAUAUAUAUAUAUAUAUAGGUGAUAUAUAGGUGUAUAUAUAUAUAUAUAUAUAUGUAUAUAUAUAUAUAUAUAUAUAUAUAUUAUAAGUAUGGUUAUGUGUCUAUAUGAGUAUAUACAUAUAUAUGUUUGUUUAUAUAUUUAUAUUAUAUAUAAGAGAUAUGUCCACGUUUAUUGGUUGAAUAUAAUUAAUAUAAAGUGAUCUGAAGUCUGCAUCACUCCAGCAUGAAUCAUUGUGCAAUUGGAAUAAUUACCAAGUCUAUCAGCAUACUGUAAUUGCAGACGUAUACGAUGCUAUUUACUCUAAAUAACUGGAUGGUAACUAGUCGAUGUCAGAAUAAUUAGAGUAAGUAUUCUAGGUUGACGUAUAACACAAAAAAAAAAAUCAUCAUUGCUUUUGAAACGAUGCAUUAUUCUAGAAUACUGGACUUUAGAAGACUUUAUAUAUAUAUAUAUAAAUAUAAUACAUAUGGAAUAUAAAUGCCUCCCAUAUUGAUACGUUGGCAAACGAAAGUAAAAGGGAAAAUAGAAUAAACUCCCAACCCAAAUUCAUCAAAAUGCUUUCAGCCUAAAUGCCUUUUGCAACGCUGCAUCCGUCGGCCAUAAGGCCUUACCUCUAGGCACACUAGGCUUAAGAAUAAGCGCUGUCUCCCACUACCCAAAACUAAAUUCCCUCACUUCCUGGUCCAAUGCCAAUCGAUACUAUACACCCUAUUAUGAUCUACCGCAGGCAUAGGCAACGAUCUGCACUCCAGAUGUUUAGGACUACACAUCCCAGGAUGCUUUGCCAGCAUUAUGGGUGUAAGAGCAUUAUGGGGGAUGUAGUCCACAACAUCUGGAGUGCCGAAAGUUGCAUAUCCCUCAUCUACCGUAUGUGACUGUUUUUCGAUAUGCAUAAGUUGUUUUUCUUCUGUAACGGUUUUAUUGAGACUAUGACCUGAGUCAAAAAUAAAGAAUUAAAAAAAAAAAAUCAUUAAAAUAAAUAUUUUUUGGGGAGAAAUUAAAUGCAAACUCUGUAAAUAUAUACCGAUUUAUUAUAUGAUUCAACGUUUGAGCAAAAACACAUACAUUGUAAUAUAAACUUAUAUAAUUAUUAAAUGGUUCCCUAUGUUACAAAUAUAUAGUUAUAUAGUUACAUAUGUAGGAAUAUACAUAUGUAAAUAUUAGUAUUUUUAUUGUAUGAAUACAGUUCAUUUAAUCAUUUCAUGUAUAUUUUAUCUUUUAUAUGACUAGAUACAGUGUACGCAUGGAAGUGAGCGUGUGUUAGAUUAUUAAACGUGUUAUAUUAUGAAAUAUAUUAAUGGAAACAUUAAAAUAUACAGCAGCACACCACCAAAUAAACUUUGACCUAUUAGAUGACGCUGUCUGUAGCUGAGACCUGAUGCUUAACAGCUUUACAAAUAUCAUCAAUGUACAUUUCCUUUUUACACCAGAUUUUGUUUGGAGAAGAAACCACCUUUAAAUCCUUCCUUUCUUAGCAG